UACGUAGGGUGCAAGCGUUGUCCGGAAUUAUUGGGCGUAAAGAGCUCGUAGGCGGUUUGUCGCGUCUGCUGUGAAAACUGGGGGCUCAACCCCCAGCCUGCAGUGGGUACGGGCAGACUAGAGUGCGGUAGGGGAGAUUGGAAUUCCUGGUGUAGCGGUGGAAUGCGCAGAUAUCAGGAGGAACACCGAUGGCGAAGGCAGAUCUCUGGGCCGCAACUGACGCUGAGGAGCGAAAGCAUGGGGAGCGAACAGGAUUAGAAACC
rnacentral:rRNA from 1 species